GCAAUGAUUGGAUGGUUACACAAAGAAGAAGAUGGUGGUAAAAUCUAUAAAGCUGUAACUGGAGGAAGGGUUUUGUAUGAACUUUGGAAUCGUAUUACUGGAGAAGACAAAUUAGAGGUUUACAGGACAGCAGCAAUCUCAGCAAUAGUUGAUUACAUCAAGAAGAAUCCAAAAGCAUCUAAAGAGGAAAUCACCAAAGUAGUUGAGCAACAGAUUAUUAUAUUUGCUGCAAGGGUUGAAUCGGAGUAGAUGUUGAAUGCCACUGAACUGCUUAUUUAUUUACUGUAUAUCAUAUGUGUAUUGUUAGUUGAAAUUUGUACCACAUAGUCAUAGUGUUAUCUAGCUUAUAACUGUGUUGUAAUGAUUAACUUUGAAAAGUGAUGUUGGAGCCCUCAUAUGCAUCCACAGAGUAUAUCUAUUAGAGGUUGUGUUACAAAUGGAUAAAAACUUUGAUUGUUGAAAUUAACAUUAUUAUAAUUUUGAGUAAGUUAAUCUCUUUUGCUAUUAUCAUACCAAAUCAUUACAGCAAAAGCCAAGUCUCAACAAUAUUGGGGCAGCAAGAUUGCAAACUUGUUCACUAAUUAGCUGACAACUUUGGUUUUGAUAAAGCAGAUUUUAUCAUCACAAACACUUUAGCAUUCUUUUCAGUUCAAUAAAACCUCAUAAACUUAUUGUAUCCUGCAUUGUAGCCAGAGACAAAACAACACGAAUAAUGUAUCAAGUAUGCAUUUUUGUAUGAAAUUUUUAACCAUAUUUGAUUUCGGGAAUAGC